GAUGAAGAACGCAGCGAAAUGCGAUAAGUAAUGUGAAUUGCAGAAUUCAGUGAAUCAUCGAAUCUUUGAACGCACCUUGCGCUCCUUGGUAUUCCGAGGAGCAUGCCUGUUUGAGUGUCAUUAAUAUAUCAACCUCUUCAGCUUAUGCUUGUUGAGUGUUGGAUGGUGGGGGUUUGCUGGUGUCUUAUGAAGUCAGCUCCUCUGAAAUGCAUUAGCGGAACAAUUUGUUGACCGUUCAUUGGUGUGAUAAAAAUAUCUACGCUAUUGACGUCAGUCAGUUCAGCUUCUAACAGUCCAUUGACUUGGACAAAUUUUUCAUUAAUGUGACCUCAAAUCAGGUAGGACUACCCGCUGAACUUAAGCAUAUCAAUAAGCGGAGGA
rnacentral:misc_RNA from 1 species